GCUUGAGUAGCUCUUUGCAGUUUGUGUUUGACUUUCUGGUUUAUUUUCCUCUCUCUCAGGCUGCCUAACCUCGGACAGACCUGCUAUAUCAACUCCACCCUGCAGUGUCUGUUCGCUCUGCAGCCCCUCUGCAUCCAGCUGCUCCUGCAGGAGGAGACAUGGAGGCAGGAGCCCUCAGCACUGCUCCUCAGCUCCUUUGUGGGUCUCUGGUGCCUGAGGAAAUCCACGGACAGGCAGCUGAAGGCGGCAGUGCUGAUGGAGCUGAAGGACUGCAUCGCCCUGCGCAACCAAGAAUUCAAGGGGAACUCACAGAACGUGAGAAAACACACACAUGA
rnacentral:lncRNA from 1 species